rnacentral:rRNA from 1 species
AUACGAAGGGGGCUAGCGUUGCUCGGAAUUACUGGGCGUAAAGGGCGCGUAGGCGGAUAGUUUAGUCAGAGGUGAAAGCCCAGGGCUCAACCUUGGAAUUGCCUUUGAUACUGGCUAUCUUGAGUUCGGGAGAGGUGAGUGGAAUGCCGAGUGUAGAGGUGAAAUUCGUAGAUAUUCGGCGGAACACCAGUGGCGAAGGCGACUCACUGGCCUGAUACUGACGCUGAGGCGCGAAAGCGUGGGGAGCAAACAGGAUUAGAUACCCUGGUAGUCCACGCUGUAAACGAUGAGUGCUAGUUGUCGGCAUGCAUGCAUGUCGGUGACGCAGCUAACGCAUUAAGCACUCCGCCUGGGGAGUACGGUCGCAAGAUUAAA